ensembl:lncRNA novel transcript, antisense to SLCO4A1
CUUCCUUUCCAUCCUCCCUGGUCAGGGGAGCCCAACAGCAACGCGAGGGCACCCGACCCUCUGCCUGCACCUGGAGGGCGCCCGGGUCCCCCCAAGCCACGGCCAGGACGUCGCGUGGUGGGGCAGGGAAAGGGGCGCCGCCGCUGCUGGAAACUAGCCCUGUGCGCUCCGCCCGCGCUCCCCUCCCGGAGAUGUCUCGAGCGCCUCUGGCGCGAACAAAGCCCGGCCGCCCCCGAGAAACUUCCGUGCAUGAAGGUUUCCUCCUUGACUCGGCAGCAGCGGCCGCCGCAGGGCACAGAGGCGGGAACGCGCGGCGGGGGACCAGGGCGUCUCUCUCCGGAGCGCUGCCGCCUCCUGGACUCCCCGCUCCAGCUCCAAGGACCGGCAUCGCUGCCGCAGCCGGGAGGCCGAGAACGCGCGGUGGCGACGCCGCCCCAGGCCACGCGGCGAGGCGGUUCCGAACGGACUCGGGAUUCGCUCCUGGGCGCUGUGGGGCCGAGUGGAGCCAAGCGGCCGUUUUUCAGCUCCGCCCUUCCGAAAGGCUGCCGCAGGGUCGGGGCCACGUGGGGCCCGCGGCAGAGGGGCUGGGGGAACGCCACGGGCGGCCCUGGUGAAGGUGCCCGCCGGUCUCGGCCUGACCCCCAGGCCCUGUUCUGGCACGCGCCCCACCUGCGCGCACAGUGAGACCGGCGCCCUAGCCUGGGAAUCCGGGGAAUCUCCAGCCCGUUGCCUUUUCCAUAACCCCGUCUUCUUUUUCACACUAGCUCUGAGGGUGGAAGGCAGGGAGGUGCCAGCCACGUUCCCUUCCACAGAGGGAACUCCCUGUUGGAAUUCCUACCCCGGCUUCCUGCCGUCUGUCCUGGAACACAUUGCUCCAGGCCUCCGAGCCUCAGUUUCCUCGUUUGCAAAAUGGGGGCGAUAACAGAGCGUCCUCAAAGGGGAUAAGACGGAAGAAGUUGGCUCAUAUCAGGGCUCAUAAUUGUUGCCAAGUAUUAACAGGUAACCACAAUCACACUCCACAAAGCUUCCCUUUUAGUGUCAGUGAAAUUAAUUUAAAAGAAGUUUCCGAAAGUCAAGUGUGUGUGUGUGAAUCCUGAGAUAAGUCAGGUAAGGGGGGAAAUGACCACCUCACGGCCCCAGGCUGGUGAGGAAGUCCUAGCCACGGAGGCGGUGCUGCAGGACCUGGCCUGGUGGCAUAGCGUGGCGGGCGGGUUCACCGUGGAGAGACGAAGGAGGUGCUGCGGCUUGUGAGAAAAGGCCCACAACCCCAUGCAGUUAUUUAUGAAAUGGUUUUCCUUCCUCCAGGGCUUGGGGCUCCUGCCCACUCGUAUCAGGUCCCGGGACCCCCCCGGUGGUGUCCUCAGGGCUCCCGCCGUCCCAGGCCGCCCUCCACUUCUGGAAGCAGACACGAGGCCACGAGACCCACUGCUUUUGGGUAUCUGCUUUCAUUCCUGACACUGCCCUUUAAGAGAAAAAAGUACCCACAUUGUUCCCAGAUGGAGAGGGUCCCUCCCAGAGGGUGAGGCACUGCCACAGGGGCUCACGGCCCUGCCAGGAGUGGAAGGUGCACACCCAGAAGUAUUUCUCCUGUGAAGGAAGGGGGCUGAGCUUCGCUGCAGACCUGGCCUCAGGUGUGGAUGAGCUUCGCUGCAGACCUGGCCUCAGGUGCGGAGUCUGCGGGAGCAGCAUUUCCAGGCAGACCUGACAGAAGGUGCCUUUGAGAGGUGGUGAGCUCCGUGUUACAGGAGGCUUGUGAGCACAGGUAGCCCAUCUUCUGGUGAUGAUGCUGGAGAAGCAAUUCAAAUGUCAGAAGCAGGACUGGACUCUGUUUCCAAAACUCACGUCUGGAUUCUACCCCCUGAAAACAUUAUUUACACAAUGUUUUUCCUUUAAACAAUUCACACAUUUGAUUAAAAGGGUAAGUUUAUUUUUU